rnacentral:rRNA from 1 species
AUGCGCGUGCUUUACCAUGCAGUCGAACGGUCCCGCAAGGGACAGUGGCAGACGGCUGAGUAACACGUGAGUGACCUGUCCCGAGAAGGGGGAUAGCCCCGCGAAAGCGGGGGUAAUACCGCGUAAGCUGGCUCGCUUCGAGGCGAGUCAGGAGAGCUGGCGCAAGUCGGCGUCUCGGGAGGGGCUCGCGGCCCAUCAGGUAGUAGGUGGGGUCACGGCCUACCUAGCCGAUGACGGGUAGCUGGUCUGAGAGGGUGACCCCCCACACUGGCACUGACACACGGGCCAGACUCCUACGGGAGGCAGCCGUCGGGAAUAUUGCACAAUGAGCGAAAGCUUGAUGCAGCAACGCCGCGUGCGCGAUGAAGGUCUUCGGAUCGUAAAGCGCUUUUCGAGGGGAUGAGGAAGGACAGUACCCUCGGAAUAAGUCACGGCUAACUACGUGCCAGCAGCCGCGGUAAAACGUAGGUGGCGAGCGUUAUCCGGAUUUACUGGGCGUAAAGCGUGUUCAGGCGGUUUGGAAAGUCGGGCAUGAAAUCUCUUGGCUCAACCAGGAGAGGCUGUCCGAUACUUCCAGACUCGAGGGCAACAGAGGGCGGUGGAAUUCCGGGUGUAGUGGUAAAAUGCGUAGAUAUCCGGAGGAACACCAGUGGCGAAGGCGGCCGCCUGGGUUGCCCCUGACGCUAAAACACGAAGGCUAGGGUAGAGAACGGGAUUAGAAACCCCGGUAUUCCUAGCAGUAAACGAUGUUGACUAUGUGUCGGGAGUGUAAAAGCUCUCGGUGUCGUAGCUAACGCGUUAAGUCAACCGCCCUGGGGACUACGGCCGCAAGGU